UACGGAGGGUGCGAGCGUUGUUCGGAAUCACUGGGCGUAAAGCGCGUGUAGGCGGCUUCUUAAGUCCGAUGUGAAAGCCCGGGGCUCACCCCCGGAAGUGCAUUGGAUACUGGGAAGCUGGAGUACCGGAGAGGAGGGUGGAAUUCCUGGUGUAGCGGUGAAAUGCGCAGAUAUCAGGAGGAACACCGAUGGCGAAGGCAGGUCUCUGGGCCACUACUGACGCUGAGAAGCGAAAGCAUGGGGAGCGAACAGG
rnacentral:rRNA from 1 species